rnacentral:rRNA from 1 species
UACGGAGGGGGCGAGCGUUAUUCGGAAUUAUUGGGCGUAAAGGGCGCGUAGGCGGCUUGAUAAGUCAAAGGUGAAAUCCCUCGGCUCAACUGAGGAACUGCCUUUGAAACUGUCUGGCUUGAGGCCGGGAGGGGGUGAGCGGAAUUCCCAGUGUAGCGGUGAAAUGCGUAGAUAUUGGGAGGAACACCGGUGGCGAAGGCGGCUACCUGGACCGGUUCUGACGCUGAUGCGCGAAAGCGUGGGUAGCAAACAGG